CUAGGACCAUCCACCUGUAAACCAUCAGCCACGCUAUAGAUGGUCUGGAUCUUCAGCUUCUAGUUCUGAGUCAUCAAGGCCUGGCCAUGGGAAUUCUGGUUCAAGAGACAAUGCCACGCCUCUCAGCCACACUUCUCAGGAUACCGGAAUGCUACAGGAAAUAUUGAAGGAAGUGAAGUCAAGCAAAAUUGCCCAAUUAGAGCAACAACUUGAAGGUUCGUCCUAGCCGUGAGAUACGGGAGAUGGUCAGAAAAUUAUAUAAAGUGUUUAGUGAUGAGGACAAUGAAGACCCUUACCGGUGGGAUCUAGAGGCAUCAUUUACUCGCCCCAGCAAUCAAGAAGUGACAAAACUAAUAGUUGCUGAAGCAAAGGCCCAAUGCUCAGACGCACCACGCAGCGUUCUUAAAGAUGCUGUCAGGACAUACUUCCAGAGUCGUGUAAAUACUUCUCGGCUAAAAAGUGGUGGAAAAUAUGAGCAAAAGUGUGUUUUGCAGAAGUAUCUAGUUACGAUAAUGUCCUAUACACUCUAUUAGUUUGUCUAUUUAUUAUUACUUGUUGUGGUAUUUGUUCUACAGAAACUGGCCAGACGUAAAGCUGCUUUUGCUAAAACAACUUCUCUCACUGAAGAACAAAAAAAAAAUUAUUCUGGCUGUCACAAGUUUAUGAGCAGUGAGGAGAGUGAUGGGGAUACCGAAAGCAGCUCUUUCAUUGUUCGACCCCUUCCUUGGAGGCAUGAUCGAGUUUCACGAUUAUUUUCAGGCCUUGACAAGAAGUUUGCAAAGAGUUCAGACCAAGCGAAGUAAACGGAUGUCUUAUUCUCGGGUUGAAGGCCAAUCUUCCACGAGACCCUGCCCUGAAGUUAAUGAUAUUCCUGAGUGGAUGCUGAAGCAGCAGUAACUUAAAAGUUGGAUUCUGAACACUUUAUCUUAACAUGUUUUUGUGAUUCAUCAAUUUUAUGAAACUCAAUAUU